GUUCAAUGAUGAUUAUGCCAUGCUAAUACUGAGACAAGGAUAAACAGAGCAACUGGUUGCCUGUUUUCUUGUCAAAGAGUUCAACUUUUUCUCAACCUGAGAACA